GGUUUACAGGUGGUGCAUGGUUGUCGUCAGCUCGUGUCGUGAGAUGUUGGGUUAAGUCCCGCAACGAGCGCAACCCUCGUUCUAUGUUGCCAGCACGUGAUGGUGGGGACUCAUAGGAGACUGCCGGGGUCAACUCGGAGGAAGGUGGGGACGACGUCAAAUCAUCAUGCCCCUUAUGUCUUGGGCUUCACGCAUGCUACAAUGGCCGGUACAAAGGGUUGCGAUACUGUGAGGUGGAGCUAAUCCCAAAAAGCCGGUCUCAGUUCGGAUUGGGGUCUGCAACUCGACCCCAUGAAGUCGGAGUCGCUAGUAAUCGCAGAUCAGCAACGCUGCGGUGAAUACGUUCCCGGGCCUUGUACACACCGCCCGUCAAGUCACGAAAGUUGGUAACACCCGAAGCCGGUGGCCUAACCCCUUGUGGGAGGGAGCUGUCGAAGGUGGGACUGGCGAUUGGGACUAAGUCGUAACAAGGUAGCCGUACCGGAAGGUGCGGCUGGAUCACCUCCUUUCUAAGGAG
rnacentral:rRNA from 1 species